UUCAAUUUGGAUUGAGGGUGGGUCACUGAAACUUUUCGUUUUCUUGAUUCUUGAUGGGUCUUUCUUUUUUUAAUUUGAUGGGGGAGAAAUAAAAGUAUAUAUAUGAGAUGCUGGAAGAACUUUGGCAAAUGGUUGAAUGGGUUUCUCUUUUAGAAGCUUGAUAAUUUUAUGUUUUUUUUUAAUCGAUUGAUGGAGUUAUGUUUGUAUUAGCAGAUUAAGCAUGAAUUAAGGACGAAAUCACAUCUUGAGUAGAAAACGUUGAGUUGAACGAAAGCCUAAAGUUUAUAAUGUCUGAUACGAUUUGUUCUAUGGAGCACUUAAUCUGAUUAUAUCUUUGGAGUGUUUGAUAAGAUUGGCUUUUUGGAGCGUUUAAUAUAUUGGCUGACUGCACUAUAAAAGGGGUGGUCUGUGUGGCAUCCUCUCGAGGGUAAUAGUCCGGCCUGUAUUUGUUGAAUUUGCAUCUGAUCUGGUAUAUGAUGUGAAUUGACUACUAUGUGUUAUAGUUGGUAGCUAUAUGAUGUGAUUUGGUAGUUGUAUGGUGUAAUUUGGUUGCUAUAUAAAAUCCGUGCACGUGAAAUUAUGAGAUCUAGGUUGAGAAAGAUAUAUGUUACAUGAGUUGGUGUGAUAUUGUAUGAUUAUAUGCAGGUGAAGGUAAUUUGAUCCCAGGUUGAAAUAUUAAAUUAUGGAAUCCUAUUAGUGAAAGGUGAAUUGUGUGAUUAGUAGUUUGACAUAUAUGCUUUUGCAAUAGGUACCGUGAUCAAUAAUCGCUAUGAGAUGAUUAUUCACCGUAUAUGGGUUAGUGACAUUAAUAUGGGUUAUCGGUAACCCUAUGUGGGUUAAUGGCACCAUCAUAUGGAUUAUUGUUGAUGGAUAUAUAGUUAUGUGUUGAGACCAAACAUAGAGUUGUAAUUGUUAAAGGGGAUACAGAAAUUGUUGAUUAUAUUGUGGUUAUCACCUUGGACGACGUCGAUCCGGCCGAUUAAGUCGGGGAAGGCUUCCUUCAUCACUUUGGGGAGCUGGAGACUGCUGAAGAGCUUCCACGAUUCGGUUGCUGGGGCGGCGCCGCUGGGGAAAGAGCUGGAAGUGGCUUUGCUCAACCACGUGUUGUAAACGAUUUUGGACAGGGUUACGGCAUGACUGAGGUCGGGCCGGUCUUAUCUAUGUUGCCGUCCUUCGCCAAGUUGCCACUACCAACCAAGUCCAGCUCAUGCGGCAAUCAUGUGGUCCGUAACGCUGAGCUCAAGGUCGUCGACCCGGACACCG